rnacentral:rRNA from 1 species
UACAGAGGUGGCAAGCGUUGUUCGGAAUUACUGGGCGUAAAGGGCGCGUAGGCGGCCUACUAAGUCAGACGUGAAAUCCCCCGGCUUAACCUGGGAACUGCGUCUGAUACUGGAAGGCUUGAGGAUGGGAGAGGGAUGUAGAAUUCCAGGUGUAGCGGUGAAAUGCGUAGAUAUCUGGAGGAACACCGGUGGCGAAGGCGGCAUCCUGGGACCGGCAUUGACGCUGAUGAGCGAAAGCUAGGGGAGCAAACGGG